UCUUGUAAUUGGAAUGAUGGGAAUUUAAACCUCUUCCAGAGUAUCAAUUGGAGGGCAAGUCUGGUGCCAGCAGCCGCGGUAAUUCCAGCUCCAAUAGCGUAUAUUAAAAUUGUUGCAGUUAAAAAGCUCGUAGUUGAAUUUCUGCUGCAUUGCUUGUGUCCCUCUGGGGUCUGUGCAUGUGGCUUUUUUCGGACGGAGUUUCUUUGUCUGAAUGUUUACUUUGAGAAAAUUAGAGUGCUCAAAGCAGGCUUUUGCCUUGAAUAGUUUAGCAUGGAAUAAUAAAGUAGGACUUUGGUUCUAUUUUGUUGGUUUUAGGUACCAAAGUAAUGGUUAAUAGGAACAGUUGGGGGCAUUCGUAUUUAACUGUCAGAGGUGAAAUUCUUAGA
rnacentral:rRNA from 1 species